rnacentral:rRNA from 1 species
CUACGGGACGCAGCAGUGGGGAAUAUUGCACAAUGGAGGAAACUCUGAUGCAGCAACGCCGCGUGGAGGAUGACACUUUUCGGAGCGUAAACUCCUUUUAUAUAGGAAGAAGAUGACGGUACUAUAUGAAUAAGCGCCGGCUAACUCCGUGCCAGCAGCCGCGGUAAUACGGAGGGCGCAAGCGUUACCCGGAAUCACUGGGCGUAAAGAGCGUGUAGGCGGAUUAAAAAGUCAGAAGUGAAAUCCUAUAGCUUAACUAUAGAACUGCUUCUGAAACUCUUAAUCUAGAAUAUGGGAGAGGUAGAUGGAAUUUCCGGUGUAGGGGUAAAAUCCGUAGAGAUCAGAAGGAAUACCGAUUGCGAAGGCGAUCUACUAGAACAUUAUUGACGCUGAGACGCGAAAGCGUGGGGAGCAAACAGGAUUAGAUACCCGCGUAGUC